rnacentral:rRNA from 1 species
AUGGACAUACUCGAGAGAAUUCGCGGAGGCGGCGACAAGCCGGCCGCGAUGGAGACGCCCCGGAGGCCGGAGUCGUGGGUGGAGAUUUCAGAGUCCGUCUCGCGGCUCUGCAGCUUCGACGCCGGCGGGGGCGGGGCCGUAUCUGUAAAACUUAUCCAGGAUGACAGGAUGGCACAUGAUAAGUUGGUUGAUUCUUUCUUGAACAAGUUUUUUCCAUCUGGUUAUCCAUACAGUGUGAAUGAGGGUUACCUAACAUAUACCAAAUUCCGAGCACUCCAGCAUUUUUCUAGUGCUAUGCUGCAUGUGCUAUCGACCCAGUCUUUAUUAUUUGCUGCAGGUCUACGACCUACCCCUGCGCAAGCAACGGCUGUAAGUUGGAUUCUAAAAGAUGGAAUGCAGCACGCAGGAAAACUCAUCUGUAGCGGCAUGGGGGCAAGAAUGGAUUCAGAGCCAAAGAGUUGGAGGAUAUUUGCUGAUGUUCUCUAUGAUUUUGGUACUGCCUUGGACUUCAUUUCACCACUGUGUCCGCAACUUUUUCUUGAAGUGGCAGGCUUGGGAAAUUUUGCGAAGGGAAUGGCUGUGGUUGCUGCCAGAGCGACAAGGCUACCAAUAUAUUCAUCUUUUGCGAAAGAAGGCAACCUUAGUGACUUGUUUGCUAAAGGGGAAGCCAUCUCGACACUUUUCAAUGUUAUGGGGAUAGGAGCUGGCAUUGGAUUAUCAUCUACAGUAUGUCUAACGACUCAAGGAAAGCUAAUCAUAGGCCCAUUGCUUUCUGCUGUGCAUAUAUGGGGAGUGGUGCAAGAGAUGAGAGCAACUCCUAUAAACACACUUAAUCCACAAAGAACAGCAAUGGUGGUGGCUGAUUUUAUCAAGAGCGGAAAGGUUUCAAGCCCAGCUGAGCUAAGAUACAGAGAAGAUCUUCUGUUCCCUAACCGGUUAAUAGUAGAAGCGGGAAGCGUGAAAGUCGGGCAACCACUUCGCAGGGUUUUGAGCCCACGGCGUGUCGAAGAGCUGAGGUCUAUUUUCCCAAACGAGAAAUUUCUGCUCACCCAAAAAAGCGACAAGGCGUACAUGGUUCUUGAGCAGAGCGCAACCGGGGAGGAUGCGCUGAGGGGGUGGCUGGUCGCUGCCUUCGCUUCGGAGAUGGAGAGAUCAGGCGCUGGACCACGUGACACGGUCCUGAACGACGCCUAUCAGAAGAUGGAGAGCGUGUUCCCCGUGUUCGUUUCGGAAGUCAAGAGCAGGGGCUGGUACACAGGCCAGUUCUUGGAUGGAAAUCACAGUCGGAUCGCGUACGCGAAAUCUGAAUGA